rnacentral:rRNA from 1 species
UACGAAGGGUGUAAACGUUGCUCGGAAUUAUUGGGCGUAAAGCGCACGUAGGCGGCUUGGCAAGUCGGAUGUGAAAUCCCUCGGCUCAACCAAGGAAGUGCAUCCGAAACUGCCGAGCUUGAGUACUUAAGAGGAUCGCGGAAUUCCCGGUGUAGAGGUGAAAUUCGUAGAUAUCGGGAGGAACACCAGUGGCGAAGGCGGCCUUCUGGACAGUGACUGACGCUGAGACGCGAAAGCGUGGGGAGCAAACAGG